rnacentral:rRNA from 1 species
UGAUCCUACGGGGGGCAGCAGUGAGGAAUAUUGGUCAAUGGACGAGAGUCUGAACCAGCCAAGUAGCGUGAAGGAUGACUGCCCUAUGGGUUGUAAACUUCUUUUAUAUGGGAAUAAAAUGUUCCACGUGUGGGAUUUUGUAUGUACCAUAUGAAUAAGGAUCGGCUAACUCCGUGCCAGCAGCCGCGGUAAUACGGAGGAUCCGAGCGUUAUCCGGAUUUAUUGGGUUUAAAGGGUGCGUAGGCGGAAUAUCAAGUCAGCGGUAAAAAUUCGGGGCUCAACCCCGUCGUGCCGUUGAAACUGAU